UCACACCUCGCCCUCCACCGCAUCCAGAUUCAUAUAUGAUAAUAAAAAAACUGAAUGAACAGUUCAUUGAGGGUAAUAUGGGGAUUCUACAUUUUAACCCUUUACACGUACUUCACACCUCGCCCUCCACCGCAUCCAGAUUAGAGAGAUGGAUACAGAGAGAAAGCGCACCUAUACCACGGCAGAGAGAGACAGAGGAGCGUCGGAGAUGGAGGAACCGACCAUCAUCUCCCAUCGGCAACCCUCUUGGCCUUCCGUCAGACCGGUGGUGCGUUGUGGUGGUUAAGACGCGUGAACCGAUGGUAUAAGGCGGCGGUAGACGAGGUUAGCGGUGAUGCUGUGGUGGUUUUGACGUGGGUAACGAUUGUAGAAGGCGGUGGUGGAUGCGCAUUCCACAGUCAUAGUUUGCCGGAGAUAAUGUUAUCGGUCGUCGGUGAAGGCGACAGUGACGAUUGCGGGUUCUAGGGUUCCGGCGAGUGUGCCCAUGACUCUCAUCGGACAAUCUAGAGAUAGAAUGAGAUACUUGAAGGUGAUCUUGAACAACCACAACCUCAGUGACAUGAAUCGGUGCUCCGACGAAGUCGGUUAGGUUCCACCGUUAAUCUUCAGUGUUAGUUAUGGGUUCAGGAUCAGGCCAUGCUUCAACUUUGGACUCUUGGAUUCUUGGAGGGACAUUUUUAUUUCAACAGAUCCUUGCCUUUGCUUUUCUUAUUUUUUUUCCCAGAGGUGUUGGCACCACUGCCAAAAGCAUUUGCAGUCUUCAUGGUGCACUUGGCAACCAUUCCGAUCACCGACACUAGAUUCAACCCAGCCUGAAGUUGCCGGUUGGUGAAGAAUGACGAUGGUAACGAGUUAACCGGUGCUACUCGGGGCUGUUAUGGAUCAUAUAUGGGACAGUAGGAUUCAAGGCAAAGCGGGUCAAACAUGAUCAACUCGAUCCAAAAGAGCAGUCAUCGUGGACAGACUUUGGACAGAUUGUUAAGCAGCUAUAAGAGAGUACCUACUCUUGAUGUUGAUUGGCACAACAAUGUCUCAUUUGCAACGUGUUCAAUUGAUAACGUGAUUUAUGUUUGUAAAGUUGGAGAUUAUAAACCUGUAAAAGCUUCUGUGGGGCAUCAGGUGGUUAUCAUGUUUGUGAGUUAAUUGAAGGCAUUGACUAGAACGUUUUGCGUUGAGGGACGAGUUGGGAGUCCCAAGAGGAACUUACCAUGGCAUUGGCUCGCAAGGGCCAUGUCAACGUUCUCUUCGCCCCGCUCAAACUGCACCACAUUUGAGUGCUUUUAGACUUUUGUCAUUAUAGCUGCCUUGAUUUAGAUGAACUAAAGAUUUGAAGAGCUCGACUUUUCAGCUACAAUGGACUGGAGAUAGCUACAGUGACCUGGAGAUAGCUACAAGAGGGUUUACAGAAGAUUAAUCACAAGUAGGAAAAAUGUAGUUUGUUAAUAUGAUUGCAAAGAGGAGGGUUUACAAAAGAUGAAUAACAAGUUAAAGAUUAAUCACAAGUAGGAAGGUAGUUUGUUAAUAUGAUUGCAAAGAUGCAAUGAUUAUGAUAGAAACCCGAGUCCAAUGUUGGGUCAAAAAUAAUUCAGGUUAUGAGUUGUAAUGUAAUGAUUCGGUUUAGCGCAAUUGCGUUAUGAGUUUACGUUCAUGUUAUCACACCAAGAACUGUUCGGUUUC